GAUGAACGCUGGCGGCGUGCCUAAUACAUGCAAGCCGAGCGAACGGACGAGAAGCUUGCUUCUCUGAUGUUAGCGGCGGACGGGUGAGUAACACGUGGAUAACCUACCUAUAAGACUGGGAUAACUUCGGGAAACCGGAGCUAAUACCGGAUGAUAUUUUGAACCGCAUGGUUCAAAAGUGAAAGACGGUCUUGCUGUCACUUAUAGAUGGAUCCGCGCUGCAUUAGCUAGUUGGUAAGGUAACGGCUUACCAAGGCAACGAUGCAUAGCCGACCUGAGAGGGUGAUCGGCCACACUGGAACUGAGACACGGUCCAGACUCCUACGGGAGGCAGCAGUAGGGAAUCUUCCGCAAUGGGCGAAAGCCUGACGGAGCAACGCCGCGUGAGUGAUGAAGGUCUUCGGAUCGUAAAACUCUGUUAUUAGGGAAGAACAUAUGUGUAAGUAACUGUGCACAUCUUGACGGUACCUAAUCAGAAGGCCACGGCUAACUACGUG
rnacentral:rRNA from 1 species